UGGCGACGGGUGAGUAACACGUGAGCAACCUGCCUUUCAGAGGGGGAUAACGUUUGGAAACGAACGCUAAUACCGCAUAAAAUAUCGGAGUCGCAUGGCACUGAUAUCAAAGGAGCAAUCCGCUGAAAGAUGGGCUCGCGUCCGAUUAGGCAGUUGGCGGGGUAACGGCCCACCAAACCGACAAUCGGUAGCCGGACUGAGAGGUUGAACGGCCACAUUGGGACUGAGACACGGCCCAGACUCCUACGGGAGGCAGCAG
rnacentral:rRNA from 1 species